rnacentral:lncRNA from 1 species
UCUGGGUUAACGGAGUCUGUAACCUGAAGCGUAUGUAACCCGAGGUACCACUGUAUCUGAAGAAGCUGAUGGAAGAAAAGGGCAAAUAAAAUGAUUGAGGCGAUGCAGAAACUCCCCUAUGAGGAAAGGUCAGUGGCUUUAAAAUUUCAGUGGGGCCUUGACAACACCCACCACCCCUUCUGUUUUUUGUCAAUAUUGUAGUACCCCCCAUAGUGCCCUCUCAGCUUGGCAUCCAGUCGUGCCCCUCUAAAUCCGCCUCUGGGAAAGGUUGCCAAAUUCAGGGCUUUUUGGUUUAGAGAAAAGGCAUGUGUGAGGUGAAAUGACAGAAGAGUACAAAAGUAUGCAUUUUAUGGAGAGAGUGGUUGGGACAGGGAUCCCUCCCUCUCUCAUGACACUGGAAUUCGGGAACAUCCAAAGCAGCUGAACGUUGGACAGACAAAUGGAAGUAAUUACUUAAAGGUAAAGGUAAAGGACCAUUAGAUCCAGUUGUGACCGACUCUGGGGUUGCGGUGCUCAUCUCGCUUUAUUGGCCGAGGGAGCCGGCGUACAGCUUCCGGGUCAUGUGGCCAGCAUGACUAAGCCCCUUCUGGCGAACCAGAGCAGUGCACGGAAACGCCGUUUACCUUCCCGCCAGAGCGGUACCUAUUUAUCUACUUGCACUUUGAGGUGCUUUCGAACUGCUAGGUUGGCAGGAGCAGGGACGGAACAACGGGAGCUCACCCGUCGCAGGGAUUUGAACCGCCGACCUUCCGAUCGGCAAGUCCUAGGCUCCGUGGUUUAACCCACAGCGCCACCCGCAUCCCUAAGUAAUUACUUAUCCAGAGCAUAUUUAAACUAUGGAGAUCGCUCCCACACGCGGUAGAGAUGACCACCAACUUGGAUGGCUUUAAAAGAGGAUUUGAUAACUACAUGUAGGAUAAGGCUCUCCUUAUUAGUCAUGUGGACUACUAGUCAUGGGAAGUGUGGCGCUGUGGUCCAAACCACUGAGCCCCUUGGGCUUGCUGAUCAGAAGGCCGGGGGGUUCGAAUCUCCACAACAGUGUGAACUCCCGUUGCUCUGUCCCAGCUCCUGUCAACCUAGCAGUUCAAAAGCAUACCAACGUGAGUAGAUAAAUAGGUACCACUGCAGUGGGAAGGUGGACGGCGUUUCCAUGUGCUCUGGUUUCCGUUACGGUGUCCCGUUGUGCCAGAAGCAGUUUAGUCAUGCUGGCCACAUGACCCGGAAAACUGUCUGUGGACAAAUGCCGGCUCCCUUGGCCUGAAAGGGAGAUGAGAGCUGCAACCCCAUAGUUGCUUUUGACUGGACUUAACCGUCCAGGGGUCCUUUACCUUUUUACAUUUUACUAGUCAUGAUGGCUAAAUCCAGGGCUUUUUUUCCAGCCGGAACUCACCCACCAGAACCCAGUUCCAGCACCUCUCAGGUGGUGCUAUUGCAAAUCUAAGAGAACAAGGGAGGCUUCGUGGUGAGUUCCAGUACCUCUUUUUCAAGAAAAAUAGCACUGCCUAAAUUGUACCUCCACGGUCAGAGUCAGUAUGCUCCAGCCACAGCUGGAGAGAGUGCCCUUAUGCUCCUGUAUUGCUUGCAAGCUUCUGAUUGGCCAUUGUGAAAACAGGAAUCUGGGCCAAAUGAGUCACUUGACCCAAUCCUGCAAGGCUCUUUUUACAUUCUUAGGCAGGAACAAAAAAGCACACAUUUUACAGCAGAAAUGUCCACAGUGCAACCCAGCAUAAUAUGCCAUCUGUUCUCUUAUUGAUUUAAAAGGCAGGUUUCUAUUAUGUUUGACUUGCCGGCGCAUAACUGAUGUUUCUCAAAACAGGAUUCUCGUCAGGUCAGAAAGCCCAUCAUCUUGAGAGAGCCAUUGAAGGUUAUUAGACAAGCAAGCAGGCCCUCCAUCAUCUGAUCCAUUCAGGUCACAGCCCAAUCAGGAGGCGUCACAGGUAACAGUGUGACUCUGGGAGCCAAUGAGAACGGCUGUCUUUACUUUGGGCCACAUACCUGAAUAAGCAACUGCAAGUGACCAUCUAGGGAAGAACUUUACGCAGGGACGCAUUUUCACUGCGCUGAUAGAAAAGUGCUGCUCUGGGACACAAUGUUCUAAUGCUCAGAGGAAGCGGGAGGGAAGUGUGGGAAAGUGGUUAGAGCCUGGGAGACAGGGAUUCAAAUUCCCACUCAGCCAUGAAGGUCACCGGGUGACCUUGGGCCACUCCCUUCAUCUCAGCUUAAUCUACCCCAGAGAGUUGUUAUGGGGAGGAGGAGGUGCACGUCACUGUGGAAGCUGCCUUAUACAGAGUCAGACCACUGAUCUAUCCAGCUCUGUACCGUCUACACGGAAGACUGAUCCAUACUUUGGCUUGUCCCACCGCUUUUCCCCAGAGAAAACCCACUGAAUCGGUGCAAAUGUCAAUUAGCCCCAAUGGAUCAACAUCCGCUGCUUAUUGCCUUGGUUUGCCAGUAGCAACCAUUGCCACUGUAAUAAUAAAAACAGCAACAACAACAACAAUUUUAUUAUUUAUAUGCCGCCCGUCUGACUGGGUUUCCCCAGCCACUCUGGGCGGCUCCCAACAAAAUAUAAAAAACAUAGUAAAACAUCAACCAUUAAAAACGUCCCUGAAGCCUUCAGAUGUCUUCCAAAGUCAAAUAGUUGUUUCUCUGUUUGACAUCUGAGAGGAGAGCGUUUCACAAGGCGGGCGCCACUGCCCUCUGCCUGGUUCCCUGCAGCUUCACGUCUCAUAGUGAGGGAACCACCAGAAGGCCCUCAGAGCUGGACCUCCGUGUCUGGGCUGACAUGAAGAACUGCAUGCAGCAGCUCCGACGUUCUCAUCACUUUCCUCAGGUCAUGGAGGGAGAUGGCAAGAAAUCAACAGGAGCCCUGCCAAGGACUGCAGGGUUUGGCGAGAGGUUCGGAAUCUUCCAAGGCAAACAGAAAACCACUUGGAACAGUGCCUAAAAAGCAUGGGACAAGCAAAAGAAAAAAGAAAAGAAGAAACCCUGCUCAAACCCGUGCUUUCUAGGCACAGAAUAAGCAGAAGUGUGGAUGAACUCUGCGUGGCAGCAGAUCUCCAGGGGAUGUUGCCAGCCCUGCCAGGAGGUGGUAGAGACUGGAUAUUGAAUGUGGAGCCCUCUGCAAGCAAAGCAGAUGAUCUGACAGUAGGCAAGGGUGCUUCUUCUUUGUAGCAAAACAAAGGAUGGCUUUCUAAUGAUGAGAUAUGCAAAAGGUUCUGCUGAAGUCCAAUUAAAUAGCAAAGGCAGGUGGGCAAGGGAAGGCAGCCCAGGCUCAAAUGCUCGGAUGCCAGAAAGCCAAUGUUCAUAAUCCGGGUCAGUGUAUAAUAAUCCAGAUGCAAUCAUCAUCAUUGUUCUGCCAGGAUGCUGAGGUCCAGCGCCAAGGGCCUUCUGGCAGUUCCCUUGCUGAGAGAAGCAAAGCUACAGGCAACCAGGCAGAGGGCCUUCUCGGUAGUGGCGCCUGCCCUGUGGAACACCCUCCCAUCAGAUGUCAAGGAAAUAAACAACUACCUGACAUUUAGAAGACAUCUGAAGGCAGCCCUGUGCAGGGAAGCUUUUAAAGUGUGACAUUUUAAUGUAUUUUUAAUCUUUGUUGGAAGCCGCCCAGAGUGGCUGGGGAAACCGAGGCAGAUGGGCGGGGUACAAGUAAUAAAUUAUUAUUAUUGUUAUUAUUAUUAUUAUUAUUAUUAUUAUUAUUAUUAUUUUAUACCCCGCCCAUCUGGCUGGGUUUCCCAAGCCACUCUGGGCAGCUCCCAACAGAACAUUAACAACACGGUAGAUCAAACAUUAAGAACUUCCCUAAACAGGGCUGCCUUCCAGAUGUCUUCUAAAAGUCAGAUAGUUGUUCAUCUCCUUGACAUCUGCUGCGAGGGCGUUCCACAGAGCAGGCACCACUACUGAGAAGGCCCUCUGCCUCGUUCCUUGUAACCUCCCUUCUUGAAGUGAGGGAACUGCCAGAAGGCCCUUGGAACUGGACCUCAGUGUCCAGGCUGAACGAUGGGGGUAGAGAUGCUCUUUCAGGGCCACAGCUGUUUCGGGCUUUAAAGGUCAGUAGCAACACUUUGAAUUAUGCUCAGAAACAUACCGGGAGCCAAUGUAGGUCUUUCAGAACCAGUGUUAUAUGGUCUCGGGGGCCGCUCCCAGUCACCUUAGCUCAUUCUAACCUUAGAUAAUUUUAUGCUUUCGAGGGGAAAUGUCUGAAGCUGACUAAGCUCACAGUGAAUUGCGCAUGUAUCCCCUGCUGAAAGUGGUGCGCUCCCUGGCUGUCCAUUUUUUCAGGAGCUAGAUUCGAGAUUUUGCUACUGCUGUACAAAGGAAAUCCCAUACGGAUUUAGAUUGGGGCUAUUUGAAAAGCCAGCUGCCCCCCCCCCAAUCUUUCCUCGCCCCUUUAGAUCUGUGGAUGAAGAGCUGUUGAUGGAACCGCAUCCCCAUGCACUAAAGCAUGCUCUGACGCAAACAUGUGUUUUUUCGAGCACUGUGGCACCAGGAAUUCCAUACCCUCCAACAUUUCUCCAAUGAAAAUAGGGACAUCCCAUUCCAUAAUGAUAAUUUUACUUUUUAUACCCCACACAUCUUACUGGGUUGCCCCCGCCACUCUGGGCAACUUCCAACAUAUAUCAAAACAUAAUAAAAUGAUAAACAUAAAACAAACCUUCCUUAUACAGUAUUGCUUUCACCCAGCUUGGGAGUUGGAUAACUCCAUACCCUCCAAAAUUUCUCUGAUGAAAAUAGGGACGUCCUGAGGAAAAGCAGGACUUUUCAGGAUCAAAUCAGAAACCAGGACAGCUUCUCUAAAUCAGGGACGUCCCUGGAAAAUGGGGAUUCUUGGAGGGUCUAGAAUUCUCUUUCCUAAGGCUGUGUGACUUUAAAGCGUAUUUGAAGCACAUUCUCUCCCUCAAAGAAUUAUGGGCACUGUAGUUUCUUAAGGGCUGCUGGGAAAUGUAACUCAGUGAGGGGUAAACUACACAGCCCAGAAUUCUUUUUUUAGAAAGAAUGUGAUUAAAAUGUGCUUUCAAGUAUCAUCAUGAUGUUUUCAAUGUUCGUUGAAAACCUUUGAGCUAGUAAACAUUCCCCACCCAUGCGUCACAUGGAGGAAUGUAUUACAUGGAAGAAUGUGUUACAGUGGUACCUCGGGUUAAGAACUUAAUUCAUUCUGGAGGUCCGUUCUUAACCUGAAACUGUUCUUUCUUUCUCUUUCAAAAAAAAUAUAUUCAUUUUAUAACACAACUAAACAACACAAACAGAAAAACAAACAGUACAAACAGAUUAUUGUCUUAUCCUUAUUUUUUCUAAACAUUGUUAGGUGAGCUUCCCCAAGUCCCCCCAUCUGAUUUUCACUUUACCUCAUCUUUAGCAGUUUACAUAUAUCACAAUUUUAACCAUUUUUUAUCACACUUUUACCAUAUUAUCACAUUUUAUCCCUUAGAAAUAAUACUAUUUUAAAAUAUACUAUCUUCUACUUCUAAUCCUACAGCCUAUAUCCACUUCCAAAAAUAUUCUAAGAUUUAAAUAUUAGCAUAAUUUUUCAAAUAUUCUUUAAACUUCUUCCAAUCUUCUUCCACCGUCUCUUCUCUCUGGUCUCAGAGUCUCGCAGUCAGUUCGGCAAGUUCCAUAUAGUCUAACCUGAAACUGUUCUUAGCUUUAGCUAAUGGGGCCUCCCGCUGCUGCCGCGCCACCGUCGCACAAUUUCUGUUCUCAUCCUGAAGCAAAGUUCUUAACCCGAGGUACUAUUUCUGGGUUAGUGGAGUCUGUAACCUGAAGCGUCUGUGUCAGGGAACUGCCAUCAGUGCCGGAGGGAGAGAGCAAAAGCCAGAGGGAUUCCAGAGAGCGUCCAGGGAUCGGGAGGAGCAGUCCAUCUUCUGGGGAAGAGAAUCAGCGUAGCACCAGUGGAGAAGGGGGGCAGCUGGGGGAAGUGGCGAGGCGGUCUCAUGACUCCUUGCCUGGGACCAGCGGGGAGAGUAGGGGUCCUCUGUUGCCCACGCCCUCCCUGCGCAGAAGGCUUCCGCGCAGAGAGGGUAGGCGGAGACUAGGCGUCAAAGAACUUCUUUGCUGGAAGAAGUUUAAGAAACGCCCACUCACGGAGGCUGCCAGCGAUUGAGUCAGCCACGGGUGAGUGGCUGUCCAGACAGAAAAAGGUUCACUUUGGCAACCCAGCCAGGUGUUUGCACCCAGCCGGGGAGAUAGGCACCUGCUUACGCACGAGCAAACCCCUAGAACCAUUACAGUCUGUAACCUGAAGCAUCUGUAACCCGAGGUACCACUGUACUCCCUUGCAACUGUUUUUAGGGCUGCAUCCACAGUGGUUUACCACACUGAUUGCCACCGCAUAAACGUGCUUAGCACAUACUGUCCAUAAAACACCUGAUUUUGCAGCUGCGAUAACACUUCCCUUGCGAUGAGCAAUAAAACAUGUACACGGCUGCAUGGCGGGGAAAACACUCCCUCCAUAUAUCGCUAUUUAGAAAGCAAGGGAAAUGACUCCCGAUCUCAUAACAAUUCACACUUUCCAGGGCUGGUCUUCUAGGAAGGAUGACGCCCCCAUUUUGGAGAGAGGCCCAAACAAUUUAAUUCCCAUUAUGCUGAACCUUGAUUGUUACGGCCAUUAUUGUUUUAAGCAAAGCACUCUUGAGGAAGGUAACGUAGGGGAAAUAUAUUCAUCAUCUUCGGAGAGGGAAAGAGAUGAACUGAUAUGAAGGGCUGGGUUAAGGAAGAAAGGUCCAGCUUCCAGUUCUGGAUGUUGUUGGGGAUCCACAGUUGUGUUACAAAUUUCAUACCCUCCAAGAUUUCUCUGAAGAAAAUAGGGACACCCUAUUCUUCUUCUUCUUAUUAUUAUUAUUAUUAAUCGUAUAACUCCACAUCUUUCAACAUUUCUCCUAUGAAACGUCCUAAGGAAAAGCGGGACAUUCUGUGAUCAAAUCAGAAACUGGGAUGACUUCUGUAAAUCCAGGACUUGUGGGAUGUGAUACAUGUGCAGCAGUCAAAUACAACAUUCCUUGUUUUCCUAGAGUGGACAUGCAAGGGGAUGUUUGGUCCAGCCGGUCAGAACUUCCUGUUUCCUCCUGGGCUGGGACAUACUUCCUUUGGGCAUGACCUUACCUGUUCAGGUAACAAAAGCACAAGGCGCGCAGCACACUCUCUCUUUUUGACUUCCUCCGUCAUUGAAGCAGCUUUUAGCUUUUAGCUAGAGAUGCUCUGCUUGCUUCCAGCCAACAGAGGACACUGGGAUUAUCCCCAUAUGGGAUAGCUCCACAUGUAUAUACUUUGUAACUAAGUCUGCCUUCAGGGAUCCAACUGUGAACUGAUGAUGUGAGUAAACUUCUUUUAUUGACUUUAAAUAAGAUUGUGGCAUGUUUAUUCUUUUAAGAGGGAUAUAACGGAUCUUACCAGGAACCAACAGUGAGAGGCUUACACAAGCCUGCAACAAGCCUGAGAGCCAGUGUAGUGGUUAAGAGCAGUAGAUUCGUAAUCUGGUGAACCGGGUUCGCGUCUCUGCUCCUCCACAUGCAGCUGCUGGGUGACCUUGGGCUAGUCACACUUCUCUGAAGUCUCUCAGCCCCACUCACCUCACAGAGUGUUUGUUGUGGGGGAGGAAGGGAAAGGAGAAUGUUAGCCGCUUUGAGACUCCUUCGGGUAGUGAUGAAGCAGGAUAUCAAAUCCAAACUCUUCAUCUUCUUCAACCAGCUACCUGCUGAGCGUUUAAAAGGGGAGUGUAAAACUCUGCUAAGUAAAGGAACUUGCUAGCACAAGUUAGGAAGGAUAUUAAUAAACAAUUUAUCCUCUCCUGCCUCCCUGAACAUUCCCACAGGGCAGUCCCUGGAAAAUAGGGACACUUGGAGGUUCUGACAUUAUACAGAUGGGGUGGCUGCCCAGCCAGGCUUCUGCAUGGGCUUCUCAUUAAUGGUGUUGCAGGAGACACUGAUGUGCAGCUGGUCAUCCCAGCAAUGCAAGCCACAUCCAAACAGGAAUCUGACAUCCAUAGCUGAAAGCAGUAAUUUUGGAUUAAGCUGGUGGUGGCAGGCAGCUAAGGGUGUAUUCAGACACAUGGAAAAUAUUGCAUUAGUUUUCGAAUGUUCCUUUCACACUGCAGUUCCUGCUGUGUUGUGCAAUGCUUGCUCUGUGUUCGACAUACCACAGUGUUGCGCUAAAUUUCAUUCCUACCAGUGGGCGUGGUGUGGACAUGUGUCAUCAGACAUUACCACUGCCCCACCUUCCUGAUGCCCAAUGAAAACAGCAGGAAAGAACUGUCUGGUGGUAUGCCAUCCCAAAUUUUGUCACUUUACUCCCACAAUUUUCCAGUUAAGGGAGCUGCAAGCAUGCUUUUCUUUCCUGGAACCAAAUAACAUGGAAGCGAGUACUAAACAUGCACUUAUAUUCCAUUAAUUUCACAGAAGUGGCUUUUCACAUCGUGUGAAAGCUCAGAUAUCAUGUGGAAAUUAAAAAUGGGGGAAAUGUAAGGGAAAUUGAAUAAACUUCUGUGUGAAUGCAGCCUUAAAAAACCCCAGAAGCAAUGCAACUUUGGAGGCAGCCCGGCUGUCCGCUUUUUCUGCAGCUUUAUCACAUUACUCAAUAUGCACAUUUAAAAAUUAACAGGCCAUUUAUUUUGUCCCUUUGCUGAUUUAUCCACUGUUAAAAAUGUAAGCUGUAAAUUCUUUGGAAUAAGGAACCUGGAUUUUUUUAAAAAAAUGUUAGUCUGUCAAGAACCAUGUAUACUGAUGGCACUACACUGGUACCUCUGGUUACGAACUUAAUACGUUCCGGAGGUUGGUUCUUAACCCGAAACCGUUCUUAACAUGAGGUGCGCUUUUGCUAAUGGGGCCUCCCGCUGCCGCUGCACGAUUUCUGUUCUCAUCCUGGGGCAAAGUUUGCAACCAGGCGCAUCUACUUCCGGGUUAGCAGAGCUCAUUACCCGAAGCGUUCGUAAGAAGGACGGUACAUAACCCAAGGUUCCACUGAAUCCAAGCAAAAAGGAAUAUUGAAUGGAGCGCAAAACUCUUCAGCAUGCUUUCUUUCAAAGAAAAGCCUAUGUGUGGAUAAACGUCACAAGGCAGCUGGAGUCUGGAGUUUCCUGUUGCCAUUCUGUUCUUGCCUUAAGGGAGGGAAUAAAGCUCUGGUCUAGCUUCCUGGCACCUCUACAACGCAGGUCAAUGCAAUUUUCACCCUUCGAGACAAAUCCAGCUGGCCCAUUGAGUAUGUGAUGGCCCCAGCGCUGGAGCAAGCUGAUUGGGCGCCUGAGGAACCAGGGGCAGGGCCAGCCAGGGCCUCUGAGGAGUCUGCCUGCCUCCUCCCACUCAGCCGCCCUACAGCUGAGGGGGAGGCAGCGGGCAGACCAUUUGGGGCAGCGCAGAGCCUACAGAUGCCCAAGGAGAGAUGUGUGGCUCGGGUGCACUGCAGGCCCCGCGGUGUGUGCUGCCCGUCGUUUUGUCACCCCCCUCAGUGGUGACACCCAGGAUGGUCUGCCCCCACCGCAUGCCCACUUCCUCCACCCCUGGAUGGCCCACCAAGAUCUCAACAAGCCUCCUGGUUUCCUUCUCCUAGUGAGAUUGUCAAGCACAUAGAAUCAUAGAAUUGUAGUGUUGGGAGAACACAGGUAAGGGCUUUAUGGCAAAGCUGGAGGAAAGAUCUUGAGGCCUUGUCCUCCCAAGCCAUUUUGAUAGGUGGGCAGCUCUGCUCGCCGGUCAAUCAGGCGACCCAACUUGAAAGGAAAUAAUUGGGAGUGCACGCCAAUCUCCCCCCAGUUCUUUUCUUUCUUCCUUUGCAGUGCAGCUUCAGCCCAAGGUGGGCUGCAAAGGAGAGAUCUCUGCCGAAAGCAGGAGUUGGCUGCACUGCAGAGUUCGCAGCCGGCUGCCUGCCUGUCUGUCUGGCUGGCUGAUAGGAACUGAAAUCCUGCCACAUCUGGAAGGCUUCUGGUCCUCCUUGCUUGCCAGUGGUGGCUAAUUCUAAUUGCAGCUGGUAGAGUAGAAGGAAAGGCGCCCCAACAGGAGACAAAGCCAGAGCCAAAGACAGGUGGAACCAACUGAUUCCAGACCCUCCAAGUGCCCUUAUUUUCCAGGGCCAGUCCCAGAUUUACAGAAGCCGUCCCGGUUUCUGAUUUGAUCCCGUAAUGUCAUUUUCAUCGGAGAAAUGUUUGAGGGCAUGUGACCCCCGAGCCAAUUUAAAUGCCUCCAUUAUUUGAUAAUAAUGAAGCCAGUCUCGCACUUUGUUUUUUAGUUUUUCAAAACUCUGCAAUUUCAGUCUAUCUCCGUCUUGUUCCAAAAUUUCCCAAUAUUUCGGCCAUUUGACCUCCAUAUUGACCCUUUUCAAAGCUUUCGCUUCCAUUGGUGACAGCCACCUUGGGGUUUUAUUUUCUAACAAAUCCUUAUAUCUUAUCCAAACAUUAAAUAGCGCUUUCCUGACAAUAUGGUUUUUAAAUACUUUGUGUGCUUUGACCUUAUCAUACCAUAAAUAUGCAUGCCAUCCAAAUACAUUAUUGAAACCCUCCAAGUCCAAAAUGUCUGUGUUUUCAAGAAGUAGCCAUUCUUUCAACCAGCAGAAAGCUGCUGAUUCAUAAUAAAGUUUGAGGUCUGGCAGGGCAAAUCCACCUCUUUCCUUUGCAUCUGUUAGUAUUUUAAAUUUUAUUCUGGGUUUCUUGCCCUGCCAGACAAAUUUAGAGAUAUAUUUCUGCCACCUCUUGAAACAGUCCAUUUUGUCCACUGGUGUGCUUUCGAACUGCUAGGUUGGCAGGAGUAGGGACCGAGCAACGGGAGCUCACCCCGUUGCGGGGAUUCGAACCGCCGACCUUCUGAUCGGCAAGCCCUAGGCUCUGUGGUUUAGACCACAGCGCCACCUGCGUCCCCGCUGUGGAAUAGGCAUCCCUAUUUUCAUCAGAUAAGUGUUGGAGGAUAUGCUUAUUCCAGGUUUGUCACCAUCCUGCUUCCUGAAGGAGGGUAUCACUAAGCUAAGGAGGAAGAGGAAGCUGACAGGCAGGCCCACCCCCUGGACUGGGUGCAAAUAGGAAGGUGGGGACUUGCUGAGUGGGGCGACUGAAGUUGGUGGUGGGGCAGUGUCCUGAUUUGCCCCAGCAGACAAGCCUCCACUGCUUACGGCCCUGGUUGGGCGAUGGCGGUCGUGGCGCUCCUGCAGACCUGAGACUGACAUGCAGAACGACAUGCAGCCCUGACGUUCUCUCUGCUUUCCUCAGGUCAUCGAGGGAGAUGGCAGGAGAUCAGCAGGAGUCCUGCCAAGGACUGCAGGGCUUGGCGAAAGGUUCGGAAUCUUCCGAGGCAACUUUUUUCCCCCUGACCUCCUCUCCCCCUUGGCCAAACUCACAUACACAG